AUAGAGCUCACUAAGUCCCAUCUUGUUAGUACAGGUACACAUCUCCCUACCUAUAGAGCUCACUAAGUCCCAACUUGUUAGUACAGGUACACAUCUCCCUACCUAUAGAGCUCACUAAGUCCCACCUUGUUAGUACAGGUACACAUCGCCUACCUAUAGAACUCACUAAGUCCCAUCUUGUUAGUACAAGUACACG